UACGAAGGGUGCAAGCGUUACUCGGAAUUACUGGGCGUAAAGCGUGCGUAGGUGGUUUGUUAAGUCUGUUGUGAAAGCCCCGGGCUCAACCUGGGAAUUGCAUUCGAGACUGCUCUGCUAGGGUGCGGAAGAGGGAAGCGGAAUUUCCGGUGUAGCGGUGAAAUGCGCAGAUAUCGGGAAGAACACCCGUGGCGAAGGCGGCUCUCUGGGACGGUACUGACGCUGAGACGCGAAAGCGUGGGGAGCGAACAGG
rnacentral:rRNA from 1 species